ensembl:misc_RNA Metazoa_SRP Metazoan signal recognition particle RNA
GCUGGGUGUGGUGGCACAUGCCUGUAGUCCCAGCUACUUAGGAGGCUGAGGUGGGAGGAUUGCUUGAGCCCAGGAAGUUGAGGCUGCAGUGAGCUGAGAUCACAAUGCCACUGCACUCUGGCCUGGGCAACAGAGCAAGACCCUUUCUCAA